rnacentral:rRNA from 1 species
GAUGAACGCUGGCGGCGUGCCUAAUACAUGCAAGUCGAGCGAGAUGUUAGCGCAUGAACCUUCGGGGGAUUAUGCUAACGGACAGCGGCGGACGGGUGAGUAACGCGUAGGCAACCUGCCCCUGACAGAGGGAUAGCCAUUGGAAACGAUGAUUAAAACCUCAUGACACCGUAGAAGCACAUGCUUCAUCGGUCAAAGAUUUAUCGGUCAGGGAUGGGCCUGCGUCUGAUUAACUAGUUGGUGAGGUAACGGCUCACCAAGGUGACGAUCAGUAGCCGACCUGAGAGGGUGAUCGGCCACAUUGGAACUGAGACACGGUCCAAACUUCUACGGAAGGCAGCAGUAGGGAAUCUUGCACAAUGGGCGAAAGCCUGAUGCAUCAACGCCGCGUGAAGGAUGAAUGCCUUCGGGUUGUAAACUUCUGUUCUAAGGGAAGAAACAAAUGACGGUACCUUAGGAGCAAGCCCCGGCUAACUACGUGCCAGCAGCCGCGGUAAUACGUAGGGGGCAAGCGUUAUCCGGAAUUAUUGGGCGUAAAGAGUGCGUAGGUGGUUACCUAAGCGCAAGGUUUAAUUUAGAGGCUCAACCUCUACUUGCCUUGCGAACUGGGCUACUUGAGUGCUGGAUGGGAAAUCUGAUUUCCUAGUGUAGCGGUGAAUGCGUAGAUAUUAGGAGGAACACCAGCGGCGAAGGCGGGUUGUCUGGACUGUAUCUGAUGCCUGUGGCUCUUAAGCGUGUGUAGCAUCAGGAUUAAUAUCCCUGUGAUGCCAAUGGAGAAUUCCACAGUGAUAGAUAGUGUUGCGAUUCCGUCGUCCUGAUGUGUGUGCCCUGUCCAAUCUUUGAUCUCUGUAAUAUGUGUAAAUUGGUGUCUUUACCAAACCAUGUAGCUACAUAUGUGUUAUUCCAUCCUACUCUAUGCCUGUGUGUGUCACCUGUGUCCUCUCUCUGUUUGUGUGUGUUGUUGUCU